CUGGUCUUCAGCCCGCCCGACGGAGGGGGCCUUGAUGAGAGCAAUCUCUCGGCGGAGGAGAAGCUGAGGAGGGAGAGGGCAUUGGGAGUCACGCGUUACGAGUGGAGAGCGAGGUCUCCGUCUCUUCUUGCUUCCCUCCUGGGAAGCCCCUCAUCAUGGUGCCCUUGCCCGCUGGGGUCUAUUUCCAGGAAGUAUGUGGUUCAGAGCCGGAGCUUAAGCUGCCGUCCUGUCCUGGUUCGCCAAUCACUGACCCGCAUCUGUCAUCAGACGGAAGCAUGCUUGCGGAUGUCAAAGAUGAUGAGCUUCAUGUCUUGAGUUUGUCACAGGGGAAGCCUAAGCAGCUAACUAUUGGUGCAAGAACAAGGGGAAAGACUCAUGGCCUUGCUGAAUACAUUGUGCAGGAAGACAUGGAUAGGAAGACCGGAUUCUGGUGGUCUCCUGAAGGCAAAUAUCUGGCAUUUGCUGAAGUUGAUUCAGCUGAGAUACCUCUUUUCAGAAUUAUGCAUACAAGAAAAAGUUUAGUUGGCUCAAAUGCACAAGAAGACCAUGCAUACCCAUCUGCUGGAGCAGCUAAUGUGAAAGUUCGACUUGGAGUUGUUCUUGUCGUUGGAGGAGAAGUUACUUGGAUGGACCUUAUUGUGGAGCAGACGAUGAAGUCAGUGGGAAUGCAGAGUAUCUAGCUAGAGACAAUUGGAUGUCUGAUAAUUCUCUUACAACUCAGUUCUUGAUAGAUACCAUUCCAAAUUAAGAUUCUUAACUAUGAUAUUCAGAAUGGACAGAAGGAAGUCUUGUACUUAGAAGAGCAGGUGAUAUGGAUAAAUUUGCAUGAUUGCUUCACACCUCUAGACAAAGGAGUGAAUAGUUUGUCUGGUGGUUUCAUUUGGGCGUGAAAAGACUGGUUUUGGACAUCUCUACCUUCAUGACAAGAGUGGAGUUUACUUAGGAGUUGACUUAUGGAACGGGAAGACAUGCAGGAACUUUUGAUCAUCAUAUGCAGACAUUUGUUGUUGUCCAUGAUUCUCUGAACUCUCUACCUAGAGUAUUGCUUUGUUAUUUACAUGAUGAAAGUAUAAUAACACCUCUAUAUGAGCAGCCUCUUACCAUUCCACGGUUUGGAAAGCUACAACUUACCAGAGAUUGUGCAAAUAUCUGCAAAAGAUGAUACACUUUUAUAUGGGGCUCUAUACAAGCCUGAUGCAAGAAAAUUUGGGCCGCCUCCAUAUAAAACAUUAAUCAGUGUUUAUGGUGGUCCAAGUCUCCAUCUAGUAGUUGAUUCAUGGAUAAAUACAGUUGACAUGAGAGCUCAAUGCCUACAGAGUAAGGGAAUCUUAGUAUGGAAGCUAGAUACAAGAGGGACUGCAAGGCAAGGAUUGGAGUUUGAGGGCCAUAUGAAGCACAGCUUCGGUCGCGUAGAUGCAGAAGAUUAACUCACUGGUGCAGAGUGGCUUUUAAGGCAAGGGAUUGCCAAAGCGGGUCACAUUGGUCUAUGUGGUUGGAGCUAUGGCGGCCUUCUUUUGGCAAUGAGUCUGGCAAGAUUUCCUGACACGUUCAGCUGUGUAGUCUCAGGUGCCCCGAUGACUUCAUGGGACGGAUAUGAUACAUUCGACACUGAAAAGUACAUUGGCUUGCCUAAAGAAAAUCCUGAUGUGUACGAGUAUGGGUCGAUCAUGCACCAUGUGCACAAAAUCAGAGGGAAGCUGCUGCUUGUUCAUGGAAUGAUCAGUGAGAAUUGUGCACUUCCGGCACACAGCAAGACUUGUCAACUCGCUCAUUGCAGCUGGCAAGUCAAAUGAGCUUCUGCUUUUUCCAGAUGAAAGGCACAUGCCUCAUUGACAUGGAGAUGUCUAUAUGGAGGAAAGAAUUUCGGAAUUUAUAGAGAGAAACUUAUGAAUGGAGCUGUAUUUUUCCCUCAUCCGUCGUUGAACAGAUGCUCGCUUUAGUUUUGUCUCCAGAACAGUCAGGUGGCACAUCACAAACCUUUUCAGUUUUUCUCUAAUAAAAGGAGAACUGGGAUCAUUUGUAGGGUACAAGUCCUUUGGACAAUUAUGUGAGGUUUGAGCUAGUCUUUUGUUGUUCUUUUAGUUCAUGCACAAAAUGUUUGUGGUCGAGGUUUGUUUUCCGGAGGAAAUACAAGACAAGUGAACUUUCCUUCUGGUUUUGUGAUACCUGUCGAGAUUGGGUACUCCCAAGAGUGAAGUGAGAAGGUAGUAGUUCGAUUCAUUCUACUAAUAUUUGGGUUUCUCUCCGAAUAGAAUCUUGGAUAAGGCAUUGUAAUUGGUAUAUGGAUUCACUGUUGCUAACAGCAUAUAUGAAUAAAAUCGUCUAUUUCACUGUGUAAAA